CAAUAGCGUAUAUUAAAGUUGUUGCAGUUAAAAAGCUCGUAGUUGGAUUUCGGAUGGGAUUUGCCGGUCCGUCGUUACGAUGUGCACUGGCCAGUCCUAUCUUGUUGUCGGGGACUAGCUCCUUGGAUUCACUUCCUGGGACUAGGAGCUGACGAGGUUACUUUGAGUAAAUUAGAGUGUUCAAAGCAAGCCUACGCUCUGAAUACAUUAGCAUGGAAUAACACGAUAGGACUCUGGCUUAUCUUGUUGGUCUGUGAGACCAGAGUAAUGAUUAAGAGGCACAGUCGGGGACAUUCGUAUUUCAUUGUCAGAGGUGAAAUUCUUGGAUUUAUGAAAGACGAACUUCUGCGAAAGCAUUUGUCAAGGAUGUUUUCAUUGA
rnacentral:rRNA from 1 species